CCUAGAGUUGUAGGCUUUGCCUGCUAUCUCUUACCCAUGUCUUUUGAGUACCUUACGUUUCCUCGGUGGGCUCGCCCACCGAUUGGACAAAUUUAAACCCUUUGCAGUUGAAAUCAGCGUCUGAAAAAACUUAAUAGUUA
rnacentral:misc_RNA from 1 species